rnacentral:rRNA from 1 species
AGCGAACGCUGGCGGCAGGCUUAACACAUGCAAGUCGAACGGGCGUAGCAAUACGUCAGUGGCAGACGGGUGAGUAACGCGUGGGAACGUACCUUUUGGUUCGGAACAACACAGGGAAACUUGUGCUAAAUACCGGGAUAAGCCCUUACGGGGAAGAUUUAUCGCCGAAAGAUCGGCCCGCGUCUGAUUAGCUAGUUGGUGAGGUAACGGCUCACCAAGGCGACGAUCAGUAGCUGGUCUGAGAGGAUGAUCAGCCACAUUGGGACUGAGACACGGCCCAAACUCCUACGGGAGGCAGCAGUGGGGAAUAUUGGACAAUGGGCGCAAGCCUGAUCCAGCCAUGCCGCGUG